UACGUAGGAGACGAGCGUUGUCCGGAGUUACUGGGCGUAAAGCGUGCGCAGGCGGUUAUGCAAGACAGAUGUGAAAUCCCCGGGCUCAACCUGGGAACUGCAUUUGUGACUGCAUGGCUAGAGUACGGUAGAGGGGGAUGGAAUUCCGCGUGUAGCAGUGAAAUGCGUAGAUAUGCGGAGGAACACCGAUGGCGAAGGCAAUCCCCUGGGCCUGCACUGACGCUCAUGCACGAAAGCGUGGGGAGCAAACAGG
rnacentral:rRNA from 1 species